rnacentral:rRNA from 1 species
AGGGUUGGGCUGUUCGCCCAUUAAAGCGGUACGCGAGCUGGGUUCAGAACGUCGUGAGACAGUUCGGUCCCUAUCCGUCGUGGGCGUAGGAAAUUUGAGAGGAGCUGUCCUUAGUACGAGAGGACCGGGAUGGACAUACCUCUGGUGUACCAGUUGUCGUGCCAACGGCAUAGCUGGGUAGCUAUGUGUGGACGGGAUAAGUGCUGAAAGCAUCUAAGCAUGAAGCCCCCCUCAAGAUGAGAUUUCCCAACUUCGGUUAUAAGAUCCCUCAAAGAUGAUGAGGUUAAUAGGUUCGAGGUGGAAGCAUGGUGACAUGUGGAGCUGACGAAUACUAAUCGAUCGAAGACUUAAUCAAAUU